GAAGCAUCUUGUCGUGUCUUCGGCAGGUGGAGAUUUCGUGGGCAAGCUCGUUCGGUAGGCAUAUCUGGUCACAGCCUUUCUUGAGUCUGGGAAUUGGAGCUGGGACCGUGACUGUCCUCCCUUUGAAUUCUCACGGCCCUUGCCGUUCGGCAAGGGUGGGGGUGCGAGUUGUUUUCCAGCAAGGCUUUGGAAGGGGCUCGAUUGGAGUGGUCACCAAGGCAUCGGCAAGAGUGGAGCUGGAACCGUGAUGGGAUAGGUUCUCUUUAAGGCCUCCAUUUCCAAUGAUCAAACCUUACCGUUCGGCAAGGGUGGGCUAAGUUGUUUUUGACACCACCGGUGUGGCACCACGAUCCGUGCUCUUUGGUAAGGACCAUCUGGGGCUAGUCUUAUCGUUCUGAAGUGUGUGGCGGAGAGGGUUUCGAGGGCACCCCCGGAGCUGGGCCCGUGGUGGCGUCAUCUCGUUAGGCGGGCCUUUACUGGAUUCGCCGGAGCUUGAGCAUAAGUGAGCUUGGAACCAGGCUUGGGUGACCGUGGCUGGUAUUGAGGAAAUAGGCUGAGCCCACGUGUGCUGGAGCCUAGGCUCAGAAGCUAGGCUUGUGUCAGAGCUGGGUCGUCCGAGUUGGUAAUUUUUGCAAUCUAUUUCCAGGUUUUGGGUUCUGAGAGCUGUCGGCAAAGUUUUGUUGUUGGACACCACCGGUUCGGCAAGGCACACCGAGGGCUAGUUGUCGUCGUUGGAGAUCCCCAACGGUAAAAGAGUGCUGGAGUAGACUUGGAGACUCGGUGCUCGGUAAAAUUUGCAGGCCGAGGUCGGGCUCAGCAAGAACUUUGAGGAGGUUCCUCUUAUCGUCAGCAUAGCCCUUGCCGUUCGGCAAGGGUGCUAUGAGGCUUUGCUAGCAUUUCAGUGUUGGAUUUUUGGAAUUGUAACUGGGUUCUGGCGUUAGAAAUCUGUCGACAAGGCCAGCUUCCACACGGCAGGGCCGUGACAUUGUAAGUCUUCCCUAAGUACUCCUACCCUAUGCACAACUGAAGUCUUCUCUAUCAUCCCUGUAAAUAAAUCAAA